CCCUGUAUAGCUCAACUAUAGAGCAAGGUAUUAACACUGCUAGGGUUAGGGGUUCGAUUCCCUGUGUAGC